AGGGCGAUAGUGGACCUCUGGCACUGAUGUCUAUUCUGCGCUCUACGUAGAGGUAGUAACAUUAUUUCUUCCAAUCUGCUGCCUGCAGUGAAGGAACAGCUUCUCUAACUAGGGUGCACUGCCAGUGCAUUAGAGAGGUGCCAGGGUGGUCAUGAAUGGUUGGCAAAUGCCAAAUGCAAAAAUCCAUGGAGAAAGAGUAUGUGUGGCUGGAACCAGUGGAAUGUACCCUCAUCAUACACGAUGUGAAGAUUCUCUGGAACAACUGCUUGUGAGCUUCUGACAUGGCCAUGGGCGUUGCCGCUGGAACUGCCAAAGGAAGGAUUUCCUGACUGGACCCACUUUGCUGCCACUGCUGAAGCUGACAGCGAAGCCAUUGUAUUGCCCCCAUAGCAAGGAGCAACGGACCAGACUCGCUAAUGGUGAAGCCUUCGACAAAACCAUGGCCACUACCGCCACAUGGAAUGGACACCCAGAUCCACGAUGCUGUCACUGCUGCCACAGGCCCAUGAACUGCCUUCCUCCACUGCAGCUGCAGAAAAGAUGUAAAGGUGGACUUUGACACAAAGGAGAUAUGAAGAAGUGAAGGAACAAAAUAAAUUUUUAAAAAAAGAGAACAAAGAAGGAUUCAGCCAGCCAGAUGAGCAGAAGUGGAAGCGUACGGGCUUAGAGCCCAAACACUUCCUACUGUGCCGCUGCUGCUGUGUAGACAAAAGAGGAAAAGCACCGUUAUCAAAUGCUUGUGUGUAAGUAUCAUCAAAUAAGAGAAGAUGAAUAAACAAUGACAGUACAUUAUGCACUCAUGGAACAAGGCUUUUUUGUGACAAAAAAGUUAUGGAUGUGGCAGUCACAGCAACAUAUUGGCAGGAAUCUGAUGGCACCUUACAAAUUUACUGUGAAUUUUAUCAACUGUUUCUGGAACUAAAUUUCAAGCUGAAAGUAAGUUAAAGGCGAAUGCUGACAACUGCACUGAAUGGCAAUGAAUUCCACAGGCCUUCUCCUGAAAGGGGCAAUGCUGGUGUAAUGUGAGGUCUACAGUCUUAUGAGUAACUAGCAACAGAAGUUACUGAACAGUACCAUGUACAGAGGAAGAUAAGAGAGGACAUCUUGCUUGGAGUAAUCUAGGACCAGGCUCCAGUUGUCUGCAAUCUGACAUUACUAUUGCCAUAGUUCCUUUUACAUAUGCUCAGUUGCUAUAUUUAGAGUAGAGGUAUAUUUCGCUUUACUCUUUAGACACAAAGUUCCAGCUUGCUCUCCAGCUUGUGGGCCAGACUCCCAUUGCUCCAUAAAAUUCAGUUAAUGUCUCCACUUGUGGUAGAAUCCGAAACUAGGAUCAUAAAU